ACGCCACCUAAAGUGGAGGAAGGUGGGGAUGACGUCAAGUCAGCAUGGCCCUUACGUCCGGGGCUACACACGUGCUACAAUGGCCGGUACAAAGGGUUGCGAAGCCGUGAGGUGGAGCGAAUCUCAAAAAGCCGGCCUCAGUUCGGAUUGGAGGCUGCAACUCGCCUCCAUGAAGUCGGAAUCGCUAGUAACCGCAGAUCAGCUACGUUGCGGUGAAUACGUUCCCGGGCCUU
rnacentral:rRNA from 1 species